rnacentral:rRNA from 1 species
GAUGAACGCUAGCGACAGGCCUAACACAUGCAAGUCGAGGGGCAGCAUAAAGGUAGCAAUACUUUGGUGGCGACGGGCGCACGGGUGAGUAACAUGUAUGCAACCUACCUGUAAGAGGGGUAUAACUCGGAGAAAUUCGGACUAAUACCGCAUAAUACCGCUGAACUGCAUGGUUCAGUGGUUAACCACUUAUGGCUUACAGAUGGGCAUGCGUAUGUAUAGCUAGUUGGUGAGGUAGCGGCUAACCAAGGAAACGAUCAUUAGGGGUUAUGAGAGGAAGGUCCCCCACACUGGUACUGAGACACGGACCAGACUCCUACGGGAGGCAGCAGUGAGGAAUAUUGGUCAAUGGGCGAGAGCCUGAACCAGCCAAGUCGCGUGAAGGAAGAAGGUUCUAUGGAUUGUAAACUUCUUUUGUAAGGGAAUAAAAAAGAGUACGUGUACUCUAUUGUAUGUACUUUACGAAUAAGGAUCGGCUAACUCCGUGCCAGCAGCCGCCGUAA